rnacentral:rRNA from 1 species
AUUGAACGCUGGCGGCAUGCUUUACACAUGCAAGUCGAACGGUAACAGGUUAAGCUGACGAGUGGCGAACGGGUGAGUAAUGCAUCGGAACGUGCCCGACCGUGGGGGAUAACACUUCGAAAGAAGUGCUAAUACCGCAUACGAUCUGAGGAUGAAAGCGGGGGACCGUAAGGCCUCGCGCGAUCGGAGCGGCCGAUGUCAGAUUAGGUAGUUGGUGGGGUAAAGGCUCACCAAGCCGACGAUCUGUAGCUGGUCUGAGAGGACGACCAGCCACACUGGGACUGAGACACGGCCCAGACUCCUACGGGAGGCAGCAGUGGGGAAUUUUGGACAAUGGGCGCAAGCCUGAUCCAGCAAUGCCGCGUGCAGGAAGAAGGCCUUCGGGUUGUAAACUGCUUUUGUACGGAGCGAAAAGGCUCUCUCUAAUACAGGGGGCUCAUGACGGUACCGUAAGAAUAAGCACCGGCUAACUACGUGCCAGCAGCCGCCGUAA